rnacentral:rRNA from 1 species
GAUGAACGCUGGCGGCGCGCCUAACACAUGCAAGUCGAACGAUUAAAGCACCUUCGGGUGUGUAUAAAGUGGCGAACGGCUGAGUAACACGUGGGCAACCUGCCCCUCUCAUUGGGAUAGCCACGGGAAACCGUGGAUAAUACCGAAUACUUCGGCACUUCCGCAUGGAAGACUCGAGAAAGCUCCGGCGGAGAGGGAUGGGCCCGCGGCCUGUUAGCUUGUUGGUGGGGUAAUGGCCUACCAAGGCAAUGAUGGGUAGCUGGGUUGAGAGACCGACCAGCCAGAUUGGGACUGAGACACGGCCCAGACUCCUACGGGAGGCAGCAGUGGGGAAUCUUGCACAAUGGGCGAAAGCCUGAUGCAGCGACGCCGCGUGCGGGAUGAAGGCCUUCGGGUUGUAAACCGCUUUCAGCAGGGACGAGGCGAAAGUGACGGUACCUGCAGAAGAAGCCCCGGCUAACUACGUG